rnacentral:rRNA from 1 species
UACGUAGGAGACGAGCGUUGUCCGGAGUUACUGGGCGUAAAGGGUGCGCAGGUGGUUGUCUAAGUCUGCUGUGAAAUCUCCCGGCUCAACUGGGAGGGGGCGGCGGAGACUGGGCGGCUGGAGGGACCUAGAGGCCGGUGGAAUUCCCGGUGUAGUGGUGAAAUGCGUAGAGAUCGGGAGGAACACCUGUGGCGAAGGCGGCCGGCUGGGGGUACCCUGACGCUGAGGCGCGACAGCGUGGGGAGCGAACCGG